rnacentral:rRNA from 1 species
GUUAAAAAGCUCGUAGUUGAAUUUCGGGAUUGACACAUCGGUCGUGCCUUAAGGGGUGUGAACUGGUGUAGUCAAUUUCUCACCUUCUGGAGAACCGCGAUGUCCUUAAUUGGGUGCCGCGAGGAACCAGGACCUUUACUUUGAAAAAAUUAGAGUGUUUAAAGCAGGCAUUUUUGCUUGAAUACAUUAGCAUGGAAUAAUAAAAUAGGACGGCAUGAUUCUAUUUUGUUGGUUUCUAGGAUCACCGUAAUGAUUAAUAGGGAUAGUUGGGGGCAUUAG